rnacentral:rRNA from 1 species
GGGGAAUAUUGCACAAUGGGCGAAAGCCUGAUGCAGCAACGCCGCGUGAGGGAAGACGGUUUUCGGAUUGUAAACCUCUGUCUUUGGUGACGAAAAAUGACGGUAACCAAGGAGGAAGCCACGGCUAACUACGUGCCAGCAGCCGCGGUAAUACGUAGGUGGCGAGCGUUAUCCGGAAUUACUGGGUGUAAAGGGAGCGCAGGCGGGAUAGCAAGUCAGCGGUGAAAAUUAUGGGCUUAACUCAUAAAAUGCCGUUGAAACUGUUAUUCUUGAGUGGAGUAGAGGCAGGCGGAAUUCCGAGUGUAGCGGUGAAAUGCGUAGAUAUUCGGAGGAACACCAGUGGCGAAGGCGGCCUGCUGGGCUCUAACUGACGCUGAGGCUCGAAAGUGUGGGGAGCAAAC